UGGGGAAUCUUCCACAAUGGGCGAAAGCCUGAUGGAGCAACGCCGCGUGUGUGAUGAAGGGUUUCGGCUCGUAAAACACUGUUGUAAGAGAAGAAUGACAUUGAGAGUAACUGUUCAAUGUGUGACGGUAUCUUACCAGAAAGGAACGGCUAAAUACGUGCCAC
rnacentral:rRNA from 1 species